GACGAACGCUGGCGGCGUGCUUAACACAUGCAAGUCGAACGGAAAGGCCCCUUUGGGGGUACUCGAGUGGCGAACGGGUGAGUAACACGUGAGUAACCUGCCCUUGACUUCGGGAUAACUUCAGGAAACUGGGGCUAAUACCGGAUAGGAAUCCUUGCUGCAUGGUGGGGGUUGGAAAGCUUCGGCGGUUUUGGAUGGACUCGCGGCUUAUCAGCUUGUUGGUGGGGUAGUGGCUUACCAAGGCUUUGACGGGUAGCCGGCCUGAGAGGGCGACCGGCCACAUUGGGACUGAGAUACGGCCCAGACUCCUACGGGAGGCAGCAGUGGGGAAUAUUGCACAAUGGGCGGAAGCCUGAUGCAGCAACGCCGCGGGCGGAAUGACGGCCUUCGGGUUGUAAACCGCUUUCAGCAGGGGCGAAGCUUGUGGUGACGGUACCUGCAGAAGAAGCACCGGCUAACUACGUG
rnacentral:rRNA from 1 species